rnacentral:rRNA from 1 species
GACGAACGCUGGCGGCGUGCCUAAUACAUGCAAGUCGAGCGAGACUCUUCGGAGUCUAGCGGCGGACGGGUGAGUAACACGUGGGCAACCUGCCUGUAAGACUGGGAUAACACCGGGAAACCGGUGCUAAUACCGGAUAAUCCUUUUCCUCUCACGAGGAAAAGCUGAAAGUCGGUUUCGGCUGUCACUUAUAGAUGGGCCCGCGGCGCAUUAGCUAGUUGGUGAGGUAACGGCUCACCAAGGCGACGAUGCGUAGCCGACCUGAGAGGGUGGUCGGCCACACUGGGACUGAGACACGGCCCGGACUCCUACGGGAGGCAGCAGUAGGGAAUCUUCCGCAAUGGACGAAAGUCUGACGGAGCAACGCCGCGUGAGCGAUGAAGGCCUUCGGGUCGUAAAGCUCUGUUGUUAGGGAAGAACAAGUACCGGAGUAACUGCCGGUACCUUGACGGUACCUAACCAGAAGGCCACGGCUAACUACGUGCCAGCCGCCGCGGUAAAAC